CCCUAAUGAUGAAACUUUCACAUGUCCGACCCAUUGAACUGCAACAGAGCCUGUAAAGGUGAACCCACUGUUGCAGUCAGUGGGAAAGGAAGGAUGACUUGUUCCAGCUGAACUGUCUGAUGGGG